GCAGAAGGGCUGGGAGGUCCCCACCCCAGGCCCCCUCAUUUCCAGUGAGGCCUGCAGAAGACCCAGAAAAUUUCUCAUAGGCCCUGAGGAGGAAAAGAACUGAAAAUUAGUCUGUGUGCCAGGAAUCUGGGUGCCACUUAGGCGGGCCUGCUGGUUCAGGGUCUCUCAUAGGCUGAAAUUAAGGUGUCACCUGAGGCUACCAUCAUCUCAAGGCUUAACUGGCGAAGGAUGCACAUUCAGCCACCCUAGAUGGUUGUUGGCAGGACGCAAACUCCUCAUGGGCUAUUGAAUUGAGGACCUGUGUUUAUUGUUCCUGUUGGCCCAAGGCUGCCCUGAGUUCCUUGCCAUAAGGACCUCUCCAGAAGGCAGCUUGCAACAUGGGAGGUGCUUCAUCAGAGCCAGCUGGUGACAGAGUACAAGCAAGAUGAAAGUCACAGUCUUCUAUAACCUGAUCUUGGAAAUGACAGCCUAUCAUUUUUGCCAUAUUCUUCUCAUUAGAAGCAAGUCAAUAGGCCCACACUCUAAGUAAGGAGAUUGCAGAAAGGCAUAAAUUGGAGGAGAUGGGGAUUGCUGAGGGCCAAUUCAGAAGCUGUCUGCCUAGAACCAAGGAGUAUAUGAAGCACGCACAAGAUGGUUCAUCCUGGCAGAGGAGGAACAGUUCUUCCCUCAUAACUGAGCUGGAGAGGCACACGUGGCAGAAGGUAGAGGUGCAAAUUCACAGAAAUCAAGGAUGUAAGAUGAAGGUAUGUCUUCCAACAUACGGCAAGGUCCAGCUGAUUCACUGAACUGAGAAAUGGGUGCAUACCUGUAAAAGAAAGGAAGAGCUAGCUUCAGCACGCGGCCUAGUGAAACUGGAGUCAGAACAGAAUGAAUACGAUGAACUGGAAAUGUCAUGUUAUUGAGCUACAGUCUCUAGAAUAGAGACAGUGGCAUCAGUUGGAGUCCUUAACAUUUCAGGUUUCUUGGCUAAACUAACUUCCCCCAGAGAGGGCUAAGACCAGUAAUACCAUGUCUGCCUGUGACUCUCCUUUUAGUCAAGCUUCCAAGUGGGCUCAACCUCCAUUCAGGAUGAUGGUAGUGACACAGCUAAUGAAAGACUGUUUUCACUGGGUUAGAAAGUCCUAACAGCCAUUUUUUUCUUUCUUGAGAGUUCUGUGUAAUUUUUUUCUUUCUGAAGAGUUCUGUGUUUUUUAAGAGUUCUGAUCUCAUAUGAAUGAUUUCGAAGUUUAGCUCCCAGUGGGAAAUAAUUUGUCCACAUUCCAGGGAAACAGGAGAAAGCCCCUUAGUUCUAAGAGUAGUACUGACAAUCAUCACCUACAGUGAAAUUAUAUUUUGGGCAAGUCUGCAUUCUUUUAUGAGCCACAAAACCAUAUAGCAGGAACUAAGAUGCAGAGACCCUGUAAUAAAUACAUUCCUUCCACCAGCUCUUAGACAUCUGGUUCAUAAAUUGCUCCAUUUGACAGUGAACAGGGAAAAUGGAUGAGAAACAUGACGUCAAGCAUAUAAUGUACAUAUGGUCAAAGAGUCAUGACCCACGUGGCCACAUUACCAGAUUAGAUCUUAUUCUCACUUUCUCUACAAUAGAAUAAGCACCAACGGGAUAGAAAUACACUCUUCUCUCCAAUUUAAUUAUACCUUUAUUAUUACUUUUCUUAUAUGCACAUAAGCAGCAACAGCUAAUGUAAAGUGGAAAUUGUAAUACAAUAUGGAAAUUGUAAUACAAUUUCCAUAUUGUGUCUUUGUUGUCUAUAACAUUAUAUAAAAAAUGUGUCUCACCCUUUAGUUGGGACCAUUUAGAAGCCUGAGGGCAAUUACACAGAGUGUAUUGGAGUUAGCCGCACAAUCUCCUAAUGGUAGCUUGGCCCAAAGCCAAGCUUUAAGCCAAACCUCAGGGAAUUCAAAUUUAAAAGUCAGCUACAUUAGUGGUAGUGAUUCAGUUUGGAGAAGAUAUCGCUUUUCGUGAUUUAUUACAGCCAGUGCUUUCAGUACAUUUAAAAGAUGGUCUAGCUUAGUUGCAUUUUCAAAGGAGCGCUACUGCAUAAAAUGAGGAACAUCUGAACUGGAAGCUAUCAGAAUGGAAAAGCUUGACUAGGGCUUGAAUUAUGUGGAAAGCAUAAUUCUUAGAAAUAGGUCCUCAAACACACAAGAAUCUGCAAAAAUGAGCUAUACUUUCAACCCCCCAAUAUCUAACUUGUGAUCAUUUGGUAGAGAAGGGUCUGUUACUGUCAAGUAUUUUUAAAUGACUGCAAAGACAUUAAUUCCCUAGAUGCAGAAUAAUCAUUCAGUAUCAAGAAUAAACAUAUAAUUUAAAAUAUUA